AGAACGAACGCUGGCGGCAGGCCUAAUACAUGCAAGUCGAACGCCGUAGCAAUACGGAGUGGCAGACGGGUGAGUAACGCGUGGGAAUCUUCCUAAUGGUACGGAAUAGCCCGGGGAAACCCGGAGUAAUACCGUAUACGCCCGUAAGGGGAAAGAUUUAUCGCCAUUAGAUGAGCCCGCGUCGGAUUAGCUAGUUGGUGGGGUAAUGGCCUACCAAGGCUACGAUCCGUAGCUGGUCUGAGAGGAUGAUCAGCCACACUGGGACUGAGACACGGCCCAGACUCCUACGGGAGGCAGCAGUAGGGAAUAUUGGACAAUGGGCGAAAGCCUGAUCCAGCCAUGCCGCGUGAGUGAUGAAGGCCUUCGGGUUGUAAACCACUGUCGGGAGGACGAAUGCGCCGCAAGGCGAGUGACGGUACCUCCAAAGGAGCACCGGCUAACUCCGUGCCAGCAGCCG
rnacentral:rRNA from 1 species